rnacentral:rRNA from 1 species
CCUGUCCAACGUUAAUCGGGGCAGGGUGAGUCGACCCCUAAGGCGAGGCCGAAAGGCGUAGUCGAUGGGAAACGGGUUAAUAUUCCCGUACUUGGUGUUACUGCGAAGGGGGGGACGGAGAAGGCUAUGUUGGCCGGGCGACGGUUGUCCCGGUUUAAGCGUGUAGGUGUGUGUUCCAGGUAAAUCCGGUUCACUUUAACACUGAGGCGUGACGACGAGGCACUACGGUGCUGAAGCAACAAAUGCCCUGCUUCCAGGAAAAGCCUCUAAGCAUCAGGUAACAUCAAAUCGUACCCCAAACCGACACAGGUGGUCAGGUAGAGAAUACCAAGGCGCUUGAGAGAACUCGGGUGAAGGAACUAGGCAAAAUGGUGCCGUAACUUCGGGAGAAGGCACGCUGACACGUAGGUGAAGUGAUUUACUCAUGGAGCUGAAGUCAGUCGAAGAUACCAGCUGGCUGCAACUGUUUAUUAAAAACACAGCACUGUGCAAACACGAAAGUGGACGUAUACGGUGUGACGCCUGCCCGGUGCCGGAAGGUUAAUUGAUGGGGUCAGCGCAAGCGAAGCUCCUGAUCGAAGCCCCGGUAAACGGCGGCCGUAACUAUAACGGUCCUAAGGUAGCGAAAUUCCUUGUCGGGUAAGUUCCGACCUGCACGAAUGGCGUAAUGAUGGCCAGGCUGUCUCCACCCGAGACUCAGUGAAAUUGAACUCGCUGUGAAGAUGCAGUGUACCCGCGGCAAGACGGAAAGACCCCGUGAACCUUUACUAUAGCUUGACACUGAACAUUGAGCCUUGAUGUGUAGGAUAGGUGGGAGGCUUUGAAGUGUGGACGCCAGUCUGCAUGGAGCCGACCUUGAAAUACCACCCUUUAAUGUUUGAUGUUCUAACGUGGACCCGUUACCCGGGUUGCGGACAGUGUCUGGUGGGUAGUUUGACUGGGGCGGUCUCCUCCUAAAGAGUAACGGAGGAGCACGAAGGUUGGCUAAUCCUGGUCGGACAUCAGGAGGUUAGUGCAAUGGCAUAAGCCAGCUUGACUGCGAGCGUGACGGCGCGAGCAGGUGCGAAAGCAGGUCAUAGUGAUCCGGUGGUUCUGAAUGGAAGGGCCAUCGCUCAACGGAUAAAAGGUACUCCGGGGAUAACAGGCUGAUACCGCCCAAGAGUUCAUAUCGACGGCGGUGUUUGGCACCUCGAUGUCGGCUCAUCACAUCCUGGGGCUGAAGUAGGUCCCAAGGGUAUGGCUGUUCGCCAUUUAAAGUGGUACGCGAGCUGGGUUUAGAACGUCGUGAGACAGUUCGGUCCCUAUCUGCCGUGGGCGCUGGAGAACUGAGGGGGGCUGCUCCUAGUACGAGAGGACCGGAGUGGACGCAUCACUGGUGUUCGGGUUGUCAUGCCAAUGGCACUGCCCGGUAGCUAAAUGCGGAAGAGAUAAGUGCUGAAAGCAUCUAAGCACGAAACUUGCCCCGA